AUCCCCCUCCAUCCAUAAUCCAUUUCGUUCAAUUAGGAAUGACCAUUUUUAAGACCAUUUCCUUCGUUAGCCGAGUGCGCUAGGUUUAACGGCAAAAAAGAAAAAUUCAUCCAACAGGAACAUACGAACCAACAACAAUAUGUAAGAGAAGUUUUAAGCUCAGGUGAAAGGAAAGACAGGUAAUAAAAGGAAGAAAACAAACUGCAUUAAUAGGCCAUAUUGCCUUCACUCCAUUUAAGCUCAUCAGUCACUGUCCAAUAUUUUAUAUAUAUACCCAAUCAAACCACCAAAACUGUGCGAAAUGUCUAUUUCUAUUCUAAGCAGCUCAACAAUCCUAUUAUAUACCUUCAACGGGUUCAAAAAAUACCUUAAAUUGUCCACCACGCGUCACCACUACCUCUACACGCUCCCACAAAAAAAAACAUUAUAGAAAGGGAGGCGUAAAUCUGUUUUCGACCCAACUAAAAACAUUUUAACACUGCUUUUUGCCCCCAAGACUCUUGCUCGACAUGCCCAUGACUUUACACUAUGGACCCUUCCACGCACCAAAAGCAAUGGAGAGCAAAAUGUAAAGUGUAAAUGAAAAAGUUGCAGAUUUAUAAGAAGCUACAAGCGCAUAUACACAACAAUUGUCAUUUGUUACCGACGAGUUCCCCACCGAAACAAAGUAGCACAUGAUUUUACAUGAGAGAUUGAUGACAUUUGGGUACGUAACGAAAUCCCCAGCUUCAACUUCUGUUUGUAAAUUAGCCUGAAAGUUGCCAUUUAAGGUCAUUCACAAUAUUCACAGGUGCAAAUUAUUGCUGACACCAUAUGGGUGCAAUAAAGAUGGUCGGAUAGAUGACUCACCACUUCGAUGAUGCCUUCCGAUGUACAUCAUGGUUUUAUUAACCAGUGGCAGCUCAGCUGGAUCCUUCCUCAAUCCUAGCACUUUCAUGCUGUACAGUUCCCGUUCAAACAACAUUAACACCAGCAUGUAGAAAGCUCAAGUUACUAAACCACAAAAGCUAAUUUGCAAGUGAAAAAGACCAUGCAAUAAUAUGCAAAUAUAACUAGCCAACAAUCCGAUUACUACAAGAUGGACGAAAAAUAAAGUUACUCCAUACAGGAAGAAAUGGUGAAUGGCUCUACUGAAUGAUAUGACAAGCUGCUUUAAGCAAGUUGGAUGGAUGACAACAUAUGGCAACAAAAAGAAGAUUUAAGAUGUUAUGCGUUAGGCCAUACAUUUUUUUUAUUUGCACCGGGUGUCCGAGUCUCUAAGAGCCCCGAC
rnacentral:lncRNA from 1 species